AGUUUUAAGUGAAGAGUUUGAUCCUGGCUCAGAGUGAACGCUGGCGGUAGGCCUAACACAUGCAAGUCGAACGGCAGCACAGGAGAGCUUGC
rnacentral:rRNA from 1 species